GAUGAAGAACGUAGCGAAAUGCGAUAAGUAAUGUGAAUUGCAGAAUUCAGUGAAUCAUCGAAUCUUUGAACGCACAUUGCGCCCUCUGGUAUUCCGGGGGGCAUGCCUGUUCGAGCGUCAUUAUAACCACUCAAGCUCUCGCUUGGUAUUGGAGUUCGCGAUCUCGCGGCUCCUAAAAUCAGUGGCGGUGCCUGUCGGCUCUACGCGUAGUAAUACUCCUCGCGAUUGAGUCCGGUAGGUUUACUUGCCAGCAACCCCCAAUUUUUACAGGUUGACCUCGGAUCAGGUAGGGAUACCCGCUGAACUUAAGCAUAUCAAAAGCGGAGGA
rnacentral:misc_RNA from 1 species